AAGAGCACCUAUUCAAGAAGUAACAGGAAUUGUCGGCGGCUCCAUGUUCCUACCUCUACCAGCGAUGGAUUGGAAAGAUUUGGUCCAGAUAAUGUGGAAGAAAGACGGCUUGUUGGUUGCUGAGUUAAAUUACUCUCAGUCGGAGUCCGAUGGGAGAUCCUACAGAUCUCAGAUCUUACCUAAUGGCACACUCAGGCUGGACAGGAUUCAGGAAAGUGAUUGUGGACAGUAUUCAGUAGAAGUGCAAGACAGAGAUGGGAAGAUUAUAUACCGGAGAAUUAUUGAUGUGAAAGUGGAACAAGAGACGGUGGCCUCACCAGUUGUCUCACAUUUACUGUUAUUCAUCAUAGUGGGAGUGCUUGUUGCUGUAUUCAUUAUUGUGUUGGGUUCACUUAUAUGGCAUUUUGGAAAGUGCAAACACAGACCAGGUCGCAUGACAAAUCUAAGCUUCCGGCAUGUGACUUUGGGCCGAAGCGGCUAUAAUGAGGACCACGUGGAAUGUGGAGAGGGAGACACGAGCAGCCCUGACCAAGGCGAGUAUCCCGGCAACCGGAGAAUGGUUCUGGGACCAGAAGGGUAAAGACUCUGCUGAC
rnacentral:lncRNA from 1 species